rnacentral:rRNA from 1 species
UACGUAGGGUGCGAGCGUUGCCCGGAUUUAUUGGGCGUAAAGGGCGCGUAGGCGGCCACGCACGUCCGUUGUGAAAUCGCCCGGCUUAACUGGGCGGGGUCAGCGGAUACGGUGUGGCUCGAGCAAGCUAGGGGGCAAUGGAAUUCCCGGUGUAGUGGUGGAAUGCGUAGAUAUCGGGAGGAGCACCAAUGGCGAAGGCAGAUAUCUGGGCCGUAACUGACGCUGAGGAGCGAAAGCAUGGGGAGCGAACAGG